rnacentral:tRNA from 2 species
GACCCCUUGGUCAAGCGGUUAAGACAUCGCCCUUUCACGGCGGUAACAGGGGUUCGAUUCCCCUAGGGGUCACCA